AUGAAAUCCUUUUCUCUCCCGAGGAUUCUUCAGACAAAUAUCAAAGAUACUCUGUCCACGAGCCUAGUUGAUGGAGCGUUCCUGUGGCCAAAGUUGAAGGGUCUCAACGUAAGGACUGCCAAGUGUGUGCCAAUGCCUCUUCCUCAGGCUUCUAGAGCCACCUGUCUUCUGGCUUUGCUGGGAUACCUACCCUUGAAGAAUUGAUCACCUAAUAGGGGUACAGAACACAGCCGCCGAAGCAGAAAUUUAUCUUGGCACCUGCUGAUGGAUGCAUGCACACAAGGAUCCAGAGAUUGAGUGAAGGAAGAUUCCUGGGACCAAGGAAAGCAGAAAUGGCGGGGCAUGCAUUACCUGUGACAAUGGGUAGGUUUGGAGAUGGUGAAGAGAAGGCAGAGAGGAGAGAGUAGAGAGAAAAUAGGGAGAAAAUCAUAAGGUCUUGGGGGGGGAAGGGAGUGAGGCUAUAAUCUUUUAAAAAUUAUUAUUAACAUAUAUAGUAUUAUUUUUUCCCGGGGUACAGGUCUGUGAUUCAUUAGUCUUAGACAACACACAGCGCUCACCACAACACAUACCCUCCCCAAUGUCCACCAUCCAUCCACCCCAUACCCCCACUCCUCCUCCUCUCCAGCAACCCUAAGUUUGUUUCCUAAGAUUAAGAGUCUCUGUGGUUUGUCUCCCUCUCUGGUUUCAUCUUGUUUCCUUUUUCCCUCUCUUUCCCUAUGAUCCUCUGAGUGAGGCUAAAAUCUUGACUCCUCUCCUUGCUACCCUAUGUCAGCCUGUAAUGAAUCCUUCAGCUAGUCUUGUUAGUUCUUUUUUUUUUUUUAAUUUUAUUUAUUUGAGAGAGAGAGAGAGAGAGCACAAGCAGGGGGAGGGGCAGAGGGAGAGAGAGAGAAGUAGGCUCCCCACAGAGCCAGGGAGUCCAAUGCAGGGCUAGAUCCUGGCACUCCAGAAUCAUGACCUGAGCCAAAGGCAGACACUUAACUGACUGAGCCACCCAGGCACCCUAGUCUUAUUAGUUCUACUUCCAGAAACAUCUGUGAUCUCCCCAUUUCUCGCCAUCUGCACUGCCAGCCCCCUGCCUCAAGGCACAGCUGUCCUCACCUUAACUCUUCAAAAGCCUCCCAGCUGGUCCCCUGCUUCUUUUCUUGUACUAGCCACAGUUCAUUCGCCAGACGACAGCCAGAGUCAUCUUUUAAAACAUCUAUCAGACCAUGUCACUCUCCUGUGAACAUCUUCGGAUGGCUUCCCAUACGCUUAGCACAGAAUCCAAACUCCUCACCAGGCUCUGCUUGAGCUGGCCCCUUCUCACCUGCCUGACUUCAUUUCCUACCCACCUCUUCCUU
rnacentral:lncRNA from 1 species